rnacentral:rRNA from 1 species
UAGGGAAUCUUCCGCAAUGGGCGAAAGCUUGACGGAGCAACGCCGCGUGAGUGAUGAAGGUCUUCGGAUCGUAAAAUUCUGUUAUUAGGGAAGAACAAAUGUGUAAGUAACUAUGCACGUCUUGACGGUACCUAAUCAGAAAGCCACGGCUAACUACGUGCCAGCAGCCGCGGUAAUACGUAGGUGGCAAGCGUUAUCCGGAAUUAUUGGGCGUAAAGCGCGCGUAGGCGGUUUUUUAAGUCUGAUGUGAAAGCCCACGGCUCAACCGCGGAGGUUCAUUGGAAACUGGAAUACUUGAGUGCAGAAUAUGAAAGUGGAAUUCCAUGUGUAGCGGUGAAAUGCGCAGGAAUCUGGAGGAACACCAGUGGCGAAGGCGACUUUCUGGUCUGUAACUAACGCUGAUGUGCGAAAGCGUGGGGAUCAAACAGG